CAGCCGCCACGGGAAUACAAAGGGUGCAAGCGUUACUCGGAAUUACUGGGCGUAAAGCGUGCGUAGGUGGUUGUUUAAGUCUGCUGUGAAAGCCCUGGGCUCAACCUGGGAAUUGCAGUGGAUACUGGGCAACUAGAGUAAGGUAGAGGAUAGUGGAAUUUCCGGUGUAGCAGUGAAAUGCGUAGAGAUCGGAAGGAACAUCUGUGGCGAAGGCGACUAUCUGGGCCAUUACUGACACUGAGGCACGAAAGCGUGGGGAGCAAACAGGAUUAGAUACCCCUGUAGUCCCUGUCUCUUAUAC
rnacentral:rRNA from 1 species